rnacentral:tRNA from 1 species
GCCCGCCUAGCUCAAUCGGAUAGAGCGUCAGACUCUUACAUCAGGCGGGAUAAUCUGAAGGCUGCGAGUUCGACCCUCGCGGUGGGCU